GGCAACCACUGAGACAGUGUCUGGGAGCCAGCGGAGUGAGCGGGAAUGAGGAGGUGCCGGAGAAGCACACGGUCCAUCCAGCAUGGGUACCGGACGACGGCAAGAGAUUUAAAACCAGAGCCACAGUGGCCUUGUACCAAAAUUCCUGGGCAGCCACUGAAAAGACAAGCCACCUCUGCUCCUGCACACAGGAAAGAGGUGGACAGUUCACUUUGCAACCAAGCAUGGAAAAUGGACAGGCAGCAGCAACAGGCCAACGCAGGACAGAAGGACAACCGGAAGACAGAAAAGCAAACUCAAUAUGUAGGCACAUGCCAGAGCGACGUCUCCCGCUGGGCGGGCUGGGAAAGCGACAGUCGCUGUAUGGUGGCCAGGCAGAGGUUACCGAGUGGCCCGCUCCUAGAACUGAGAUCAAACAGAAGAUCCAGAGGUAUCUACAGGUGUCAGCCUCUGCGCAGCUACCGUCCUUACAAACUCAUGUCUUUGCAGCAGCAAGCAAGGCUGAGAAGCUUGUGAGCGAGAGCAGAAAACGAUCUGCAAGAAAAGUGGUCAGAAGCUGUUGGGCCUGCGGGAGACCAUGGCCGUGUGAGCAGAGUAAAACUGCUAAUCUAGGAA